GAAGAGCCGGGAGAUUACCCGGCCGGGACUCGCGGUUGCGCUGGGUGCCGGCAGAGCAGCCCGACCCGGAACUGACCGCCGCGGGGAAGAAGCGACCCUGGCCCAGGAUUCGUAGCCGGGAGCUGCGGGCUGGUGAGUAAGGCAGACCUGGCGAUCGAACGUGGCAGCGCGAACGGAACGAGGCCGGGCCGAGCGGGGCAGGCUCGGGAGAAGGGUGAAGUUCGCUGCGUCUUCCCUCCCGGCUUAAUCCUCCUGCUUGCUUGGGCCUCCAUUCGCUCCUUCCUCGUGGGUUCUUCCUCGCUUUCCGUGUCAAACUCAGGCACCAAUCCAUUCUUGUCUCCACAGCCAGAAGUAAGCGGGGCCCAGAUGACAGUCUCACUGCUUGGAGCCGAGUAGACGGCCAGUCUGGCUCCAGGACCAAAGUCACGGUUUUUUGGUUUUGAUCAGAAUAAACUGGUUUAGCCACGUACACUUGAAGUUGUGCAUUCACCCGAUUAGCACAGCAGCAUUUUCCCUGCUGCUUUUCACCCUAUAAUGGCCUUAGAAAAGUAUGAAAAUUUAUUUUUGUGGACCAAAUGCGGGCCAAGACUUACAAAGUCCCAGUACAUUCUCGAUUUUGACACCACGAGUUUGUAUGCGCUUCAAGAGAGUGUCAUUCCGUCAUGCAUACAACAAAUACCAGUGUCAGGGACUGUGCCUGCGCUAAAAAUUGUAAUCCCUAAAAGUGUCCCCCCACCUCAAGUUUAAAAUAGACAGAAUUCCCCGUUAUGGCUGAGCAGGUUGAGAAUCCUACUGGUAUCCAUGAGGAUGUGGGUUCCAUCCCUGGCCUCAUUCAGUGGGUUAAGGAUCCAGUGUAGGUCGCAGACAGGGCUCGAAUAUGGUGUUGCUGUGGCUGUGGUGUAGGCCAGCAGCUGCAGCUUGGAUUGGACCCCUAGCCUGAAAGCUUCCAUAUGCCGGAGGUGCCGCCCUGAAAAGCAAAAAUAAGUAGAUGUACUUUUUUACUGUUUCUCAAAUUCCCCUUUUUAAAAAAUAGAUUAUUUUUAAGAACAUUUUUAGAUUUACAGAAAAAUGGUGAUAGUAGAGUUUCCAUAUACCCUAAACCCUUUCCCCAUUCAUUUAUUAACAUCGUGCUUAAAUAGGGAACAUUUGUUACAGUUAGUGAACCUCUGUUGACCCAUUAAGUUUGGCCAACAUACGUAACAUAUUCAGAUUUCCUUAGUUUUUACCUGAGUACUUUUUCUGUUUCAUGAUCCCACCCUGGUUACCAUAUUCCCGUUAAAUCUCUUUACAUUUACCUUGGCUGUGGCAAUUUCUCAGACUUUGUUUUUAAGAUCAGGAAAGUUUUGAGGAACACCUGCUCCGUAUAUUAUAGGAUGCCCCUCUGUUGGAUUCUGUUGUUUGUCCCCUAAGACUGGGUUUGUGGGUUACUGGGAGAAAGACCACAGAGGUAGAUUGCUGUUUUCAUCACUUCACAUCCAGGGAACAAGCUUUAUGAUUUGACGUUGGUCUUAAUCAUCUGGCUGAGACAGUGUUUGCCAGGCUUCUCCAGGGUGAAGUUACCCUAUCCCCCGCCCCCCACCCCAAUACUGUAUCUCUGCAGAGCAGACAAACUAUGUGUAGCCCACACCUAAGGACUGGGGAGUAUGUUCCUCCCUCUUUAAGGGCAGCUCCAUACUACACUAUUUGGAAUUCUUCUGCAUGGGAGAAGUCAUUUAUUCUUAUCAGUAUGAACUUGGGGAUAUUUAUUUUAUACUUUGGGUUACAAUCUGAUACUACUUCAUUCUGUUGCCGCUUUAGCCAUGGGGAGUGCUAAGUUAGUUCCUGUGCUCCUUUCUAGCGUGUAUUUUUAUAGAGCUGUUUGCUUUUGAACAAUUUCAGUUACAUGACCUCACUUGAACUUCAGACAGCCAGGCAAACCUGACAAGAUCUUGUUCUUCUUACCUUUUUAAGUGGAAAGGAAACCAAGGCCCAGGAGCAGUAGGUGACAUCUAAAAUGUCACUUCCUGCAAAGGAAGUGAUAGGCUGGACACAAACUGGGAAGUCACUGUGACCUGCAGAAGAGAGCCCAUUAUCUUAAUUGAGGCUUCUUGGGGUGACUUCAGACUUAAGACCCUUCCUCCCACCCCACCCUCCACCCCACUCCCACCCCCAACCCACCUCCCAGGGUCAGAAUAGAAAAGACAUGGAGAAUGGGAAGAAAUUGGUUUUUGAAAACAAAGCCUUAGUUUGGCUGGCAUCCAGGGCGAAUUAAAACUUGCCACCUUUGCAGAAAUGCAGUGACCUUUCCCCCAAAGCUAUGUGUGGAGGGAGGUGAUCUGGGUAGUAUUUGUGGCCAAGACUGUCUAAUCUAAGGGGAGCCCUUGGUGCCUCCUGCUGAAGUGAGAUUGUAGAGGGGGGAGGGGAGUGUGGUUGGGGAGAAUGAAGAAGAUAUGGGGCUCUGGACUCAUGGGGUAACAUUCAGCCUCACAAACAUUUACAGACUUUGUGCCCAGCACUGGAGAUAUGAGGCGAACGCGAUAACCCCUACACUGCAAACGCCUAAUGCUGGAGAUAUGAAAAGUUCAGUGAGCCGUGACCCUUGGGUUCACGUUCUUGUUGGGAGAAGGAUGGGUAAAGCUGUCAGUUAAGAAGUGGGGUGGUCGUGCUGUAAUGGAAACGCAGGGUCUGCAGGAGCUUCCCGACAGAGGCAUUCCUUCAGCGCAGAGGUGAGCUGGGCACAGGAAGGACCUCGCAGAGCAGGGGGCAUGUCUGAUUCCAGCUUUCAAGGAUGAGCUGGGACUGAGAAACUCAUGUACAAGAACAAGGGGCGGGGAGUGGGGGGGGGCGGUGAAAAAGGGGCUGUCAUUCUGCUUCAGUGUAUCCAGCAUUAGGCUGAAACAGGAUUCAGGGCUGGACGAGUAAGUGGGGGCCAGAUUAUACGGGCCUGUGUGCCCUGCCAUGCAGUUUUAAGCUCAGGAGUUUUGAAGCAGGAGAAUGACAGAUGAGUCCCAUGUGGUAGAUGACCCUGUCAGCACUUUGUACGAGAUAGGCUGCAUUUCACCACAUCUAAGAGGUCAUCAAUUAUUUUAUGAUUAUAUUGGAAGAAACAUUCUGCUAGUUAAAUUAUGGCAUGCCCGUUGAUCACAUUUCACAGAUGCAAACACAUAAUGACAAAUUUGAUGUAAAGCGGUAACUCCCUAGCUAGUGGCUUAGGGCGCUCCUUCCUCAGGGGAAUGAAUGGUUAGAUUCUUUCCCUCUCACUAACGCAUAGAUGUUGAUUUCACUAACUCCGUUUAUGAUCGCGAAGAAACUAUAUUUGGUAAGCUGGCCUUUCCUGUCUGGUAGCCAGUU
rnacentral:lncRNA from 1 species